rnacentral:tRNA from 1 species
GUUCCUGUAGCGCAAUGGAUAGCGCGUUGGACUUCUAAUCCAAAAGUCGUGGGUUCGAAUCCUACUUGGAUUGCA